rnacentral:lncRNA from 1 species
AACUUUCCGUUCGGUGUUUUGUAUAUUCGUGACCAUAUCUAAAACCGUGGUUAGAACCAACGGUCCAACCACAGCUUUAUUAACUUUUGAGGUUACAUCUUGUCUGAGUUUGUACUCUGAGUUGUCUGAUUGUUUUUAUUCUUUAAUUGUGUAAUUCAAUUUUGAUUCUAUUAAAUAUAUUAAUAUAUUAAUCUAUUUCCUACAUUCCUAGUAGCAUAUAAUAUUAUACUCGAUUUAUUAUAAUUUGUAAUUUAUAUUUUUUAAUCAAAGGUAUUACAAUAUUGAUCAUUAAUUAUCUUAUUGUACUAAAUUUGAAUGAAAUUAUAUUCAUUAUAUAAUUUAUAUUAUGGUGUUCGUUACAGCUGUUAUAGGUUUUCAAAAAAAUGGAUAAACCAGUAGUAUUAUCAAGAGUUUUGAAGGUACUGGGACGAACGGGUUCGCAAGGUCAAUGUACACAGGUUAAAGUGGAAUUUAUUGGUGAACAAAAUCGUCAAAUUAUCAGAAAUGUUAAGGGACCAGUACGUGAAGGCGAUAUCCUAACACUGCUUGAAUCUGAAAGAGAAGCUAGAAGACUUCGAUAAUCUAAAUAUACCUACUCUCAGUGAGUCCAGUUUAGUUAAAUAAUUGAGUGAUUUUAAAAAUUUAAAAAAAAAAAAUCAAUAUUGUUUUGACAGCAAUUAGUUCAGAUACAAGCUGACGUAUUAUUAAUCUUUAAAUUCUUUAAAAAUGUG